CUCAAGACACUUUUCUAACAGGAAGCAAGUUAUUAAAUGUACAACUGGCUGCUAGGACUGAAGAUUGCUCCAUAAUUUAGAAGAAUGAGACAGGACUAUUUCAGAUGAGAAACAUGAGCUGCUCUUGAACUGUACUGCCAAGAUGAAUACUGGAAGGCCAAGAUGGUUGUCAAAAGGGACCAGGAGAUAGAAAUGCCAUGUAACAACAAUGCAACGUUUGAAAGCCGAUAAGUGAAAAGUACUGAAGCAUUUAAAGAGAAGGGGUAAUCACUUAUCCAAGGCGGGACCCAUCCCUGAACAGAACAUCUUCCAUUCGCACACCCAGAGUCAC